UCCGUAGAGACGGAAAACUCCAAGUCUUGCCGGAAUGAAGAAUAUACGCUGUGUACAAAAAGCCGCCGUUCGUUUUACCUGCAAAUCCAUAGUGCUGCGGAGUCCAACCGUGGAAUGAACCAAAGCAUGUCCAUAAUGGAGGUGGGGUGGAAGACGUCAAGUACGAGACCUGCAUAGGAGAUACUUUAACCUUUUCAACUGACAGAUUUCAGGGUGUGAGUCGGAGAAAGGCUCGACCUGAGACAUAGGCCUGCUCAGUUCUUGGUUGGUGAGAAAGUCUGGAGCAGGACUCCUCCACUCUCCAAAGCUUCUGGUAAAUUCAUAGUGACAGUCGGGUUUCACUAUAGUGCAACUCUUUCCAGUUUCAGUUUUGUACUGUCUUGACUACCACUUUUUGGUCAAAUGUCCCCAUCGGAAAUUGGAAAAAUUCUGACAAGAACAGGCCAUUCAUCCCAACAAGCUCAUCUAUCCUAUUUACCUAGACUGUCCAAAAUAUCUCCUUGAUUUUGCUUUGCCCUCAUUUUAUUUUGUGUUUUGUAUUUAUCCCUGUCCUUUACCCUCUUUAGUGUCAAUUAUUGGUAUCAGCUGCUGCAGUAAUUAGAACCAUGGUAACCUCAGAUCUUCAUUUAAGACUCUGCCUGCCAUAUGCACCUUGCUGUGGCAUUGACUACUACAAGCUGUGCUCUUAGAUUCAUUUUGUACUUUUUCUGUUAGUAAAUGAUUAGUGGCCUUUUAGACCUUUAGUUUUGGAACAAUUGACUUUUCAAAUUAUU